rnacentral:lncRNA from 1 species
CCGCCAGGAGACUGCCCCUCAGCUUCUCCAUAGGAUUCCCAGCCCUCAUUUUACUCUGGCCCUUUUAUUGGCCUUUCUUUCUAAGCUGUAGAGUUAGCUGCACAAUUCCAGGUCAGAACUGCCUCCUCAGGCCCUAUGGGCUGAGACAAGGAUGUGCUUGCAGGUAUUAUGUGGGAGGUGACCCCAGGAGGCAUCGUAGUGCAGUAGCCUGAGUGAGACAUGGAGGGUUAGAGCCAGUAAGAUGUGUGUUAGGGAUCAGGUGACUGCUGGGGCACCAAGGCAUGGAGAACAUGCUUUAGGGCUCCCCAGCCAUGGGACAGGGUGAGGGAAUCGGGUGUUUCUUCAUUAGCUCCCCUCAGUCUUUGCUGGGGGACGGCAGGUGCUAUUUCCCUUGGCUCUGGCAAAGAUGCAGAUGCUGGCAGUUGGAAGUGCUCAGUCCAAGCUGCAGCUGUGGCAAUGCCAGAUCCUUAACCCACUGUGCAGGGCUGGAGAUCGAACCUGUGCCAGAGACGCUGCUGAUCCCGUUGUGCCAGAGCAGGAACUCUGAGCCAGUCUCUCUGAGUGUGCCUCUUGCCAAGCCUUUGUCCCAUUAUUCCCUUCUCUCCAUGACGAACAAACCUGCCAGCCCCCCACCCCACCCCCACUGCCCUGGCAGAUGCUUCUCACUGGGGCCAGUCACCAGUACCAUGUUCACUGUGUUCAACAGAUAUUUAAGGAGCACCUACUAUGUGCCAGGCACCACGAUAAGAAGAGAAGCUGUCAGGAUCCCUCUAGAUGCUCGCAGCAGAGGAAAGAGAUCCAGCGUGAAGGCAGUCCUUAUCAUAUGGCCUUUCCAGCCCGCUCUGAGCUACACCAGGCGCCCUCUCCUGGAGGGCGAGGCUGACAUGCUGGGUGGCCACAGGCACCUUGGAGUCCCCUCCCGGCUCUAGCAGGCUGAGGCUGUGAUUGUAGCGGUUUUUCUGACUUCCUUUUCCUGCCUCUGACUGCCCCUGUCUCUUCCCCUCCUGGGGCCACGAGCCCCAUGGCUGCCACGUGGCUGCCUUUUAGUCAUUCAGGAACUGAGCCUCCUAGGGCUCUCCCCCUGCGUCUCUGUGGAAACAGGAUGCAGGAUGGGGUGCAGUGGAGAGGGUCGGUGUAUUCAUGGGCGCCCUUCUUUGUCCCUGUCGAAGGCCCUGUCUGGUGCCUGCUUCCUGGAGAGAGGCCUCCUCCUCCCUGACUCCCCACCCCUGCAGACCCUCACGCCACGCUCCUGCCUUCUGGGGUCUGGGGCAGGGGCAGAGUUAGGAGAGGAGGUGGCCUACAGGUAGGGCCUGCACGGUGUGGGGGCAGGGAGGGCCGGAGACAGCGCUGGGGCAGGUGCCGGGCCUGGCGAGGGCACACACGGCACCAUGCUCCAAACCCUGUCUUGGGCCACAGGCAGGCCUGCCAAGUCCCUUUGACUCAUCUGUCCGGCCGCCACCCACAGCCUUUCCCCUUGAUGUUUUCACUUCCAAACCGGGUUUGGUCUGGGCGCGUGUGCCAGGGCGGCGGGGGCAGGAAGGUGUCGGCCGGGGCUGGCCAACCUCAUUCCUUUUGAUAUUCUCCCCCUGCUUACCAGUGGCCUCUAUUUCCCACCCCUCGGGCAGGGCUGGUGCCGGCAGGGCAAACCUCUCCUGGUGCCGGCAGGGCGAACCUGCCCCACUUGGAUCGGGAGGUGGCUGUGCUUAUUCUGGCAGAAGGCGUGUGGGUGUGAGGGCUGGGGGGACCCUGGAGACGAUUUGCCCAGGAACAGAAACGGGGGGACUUAGGAUGAGGGUUUGGGUUUGUCUCAGGUUGGAGCUUAAGCAUCUUUUGAUCCAGGGAGGAGGGUAAGGAGGCUGCAGGUGGGCUGCCCGUGUCCCACCGCUGUGGGGAAGCUGGGCAGGCCGGAGGACACCAUGGUGGGAGAUGCUGAAUGGGGGGAGCAGAGUGACAGGUGCCCCUCCCCCACCCAGCUCCACACACGAUCGAUCGGUUCCUCUCUCUGCUCAGCAGAAGCCAAGGGCUUCUUGUGCUGUUUUAGGACAGAUAAGGGUUGGGUGAGCCGCCGUGUGCCUUUUGAGAGUGAGCCCACCGCAGGGUUCAUCUCAUACCUGUGUGUGUUGGGGGCGGGGAAGGGGCAGGUGGACGCGGCUCCCGCGCUCUGUCGCCUGCGGGGAGGGGCGGGACACUGCCAUCCAGGGUCUUUUCUCACUUUAGCGGGAGAGAUCUCCUCUGGCUUCCUGAGGGAGAUGGCCUAGAGGUGGCAGCUGGGUGCCCGGGCAGGGCGGGAGGGAAGCCGAGUUCUCGGCCUGGGGCAGCUGCCACGGGGGAAGCCCUGGGCCGAGUGAGGGCUGAGCGAGGACCCGGGCCAGGGAGCCCCUGGAUUUCGCGCCCCUACCGACCAUUCCCAGAAGCCCAGCUCAUGGCGGGGGCGGGGCCGGGGAGGGGACCCAGCCGGUGGGUGCGGGUAGCCGGGGGAGAAGAGCCUGUGGUUGUCCAGCCGCCCCUGCCUGCUCUGGCCGCCCUGUCCUGCCCCCACAAGGCAUGAGUCAGACCGAAAGCAGAAGCUGCCAGACAUUGCACAGGGUGAAGCCAGGCAGAACCAGCAGUGCUAUUUUGGAACCUGGUUAAUUCCCCCUCCUCUCCCCUCAGCUCUCUUCACUCAGGGCUCCCACCCCCUCCUGGUCACCGGCUCUUGGCCUUCCUCGAGCGGACCAUUGGGGCGGGGACUUGAUGUCCCCGGCAUGGAUGGGGGUGGGGGGCGUUGCUUAAAGCUCCUCCCCUUGCUGGACCACCCCUGCCUUCUCGGCCAAGAGGUGCCGGCUUCUCCGGAACCGGCUCCUAGGGUGUCAGGAGGGCAGAGCGCCCCCUCCCGGUGGGAGCUGGCAGGCCGGGUACGGGACGGUCAGCGGCUCUCAGGCGGCCCUGCUGGGCUGGCAGGCGCCCGGCCUGCCCCUCCUCCGCCGCUGUCAGGCCAGCUGUCAGCCGCCUCUCCCUGGGCUGGGAGCUGACAAGAGCUUCAGGUGGGAGCCUCGCCCGGCAGUGACUCGGAGAGGUUUGGGAGGGAUUUCCGGACCCGGAGGGGAGAUAUUUUGGGGCCGAGGGCCUUUCCAGAACCCGUGACAUCACGCACCCUCCAGCAGCCCCCACCGACCCCCUAGUCAAUGGUUCUUUCUUGGGCAUCCUAGGCCUGCUUAAAGGCCCCACGUUGUAGGGUUUCUUUGGAGUCUGCAUGAGCCUGGGGACCCCUGGCCUUCCGGCCUGUGGUGGUGAAAGAGGUCAGCAGGUGUGUGUUUCUGAGCUGAAGAUGGGGGUGUAUAGGUGAGAGUGUUACCCACCCUUGGGUCGGUCUGGGGGACUGGGGGCCCUGCUGCUCGAAACUGUGUGGUCAACAGAGGGUGGCCCUUGCUAUUGCUCUGCAUGCAUGUGUACCCGGGACAGGGGUGCAGCCUCCGUCCGCUGGGUCUCGCCGCCUCUCAGGGGGACCCUGAGGUUAGUGCUCCACUUGGCUAUUACCCUCCAAGCAGCCUGGGGUGCUUGGUUUCAUGCACUGGGGCAGUGGGUGGGGAGCGCUGUUAGCAGGCAUGUUGCAGGUGACCAAUUAGAAUGUGGGUCCCUGUUAAGCUCAGGUGAGCAGGACUUAGGUUUCUCAUUGUUUAGCUGGGUUUGGGGCUUAGGCAGGGGAUGGGGGGGCAGAGCAAUGCGGGGGGGAUGGGGGUCUCCCAGGCCCGUUGCGGGGGGGGGGCAGUGGCCCCCCCCCCCCCCCUGGGGAGCAUACACCACCGUGUCCAGGCACAGCCUGUCCUCAAGGUUGUCUGCCCUCUGCUGGAGCUGUUCUCUAGGCAGGCAAGUCCUGGGGUGCUGUGUGUGUGCUGGCAAGUGUGCAUGUGUGUACAGUGGUGUGUGUACAGGAGAUGCUGUGUGUGUGUGAGUGGGUGUGUCUCCCAAGGCCUAUCUGAAUUCAUUUCCCCUGGUAACCCAAUCACCUUCCAGACAGUUCUUUCCCCCUUCCCCAGGCCAGAGUUCCCAACACCAUGAGGGCAGAGGGGCUGGGCUCUGCGUUCCCACCUCCACCUUGGCUCCCGGGCCUAAAAUGUUGGAGUGUUUGCUCAGAUUCACUAUGGGGCUCAGAAGGGCUGUGCCUGUGCCUCAAAAUACGUCCCUUAGGGGCCUGAACCUUCCUGCUCUCCCUGCCCACCUGCCACCUUGGAACCUCUAGGUGACCCAGCCCCCAGCAAGCUGCAAGUAAAGUAAUUUUAAUGUGCCCAGGAUGCUGUGUUAAAAUGCAGAUUCCGACUCAAGAGGUCUGGGCUGGGGCCUGAGAGCCCGAAGGUCUGGCCAGCUCUCUGUGAGGCCUGUUUUCGUGCUUUGAGUGGUGGAGUCUUCAAAGCCCCACUUCCAUCCAGCCAGGUGGACGCUGCUCACCCCCUCACCAGGGAGCUAACACUCAUGGGCCACCACUGAGCUGCCAGGUACCCCACACACGUCUGCUCCUUUGAUCGCCUCACCUACUCUAUGGGAGGUGGCAUUACUGCCAUCCUCUUUUACAAAUGGGGAAACUGAGGCUCUGAGAGCUUCAAUACGGAAAUUUUUGUUUGGCUCAAGAGUUGACUAAGGAAACUGACUAGUAUCCAUGAGGAUGUGAGUUUGAUCCCUGGCCUCUUUCAGUGGGUUAAGGAUCCAGCAUUGCUGUGAGCUGUGGUGUAGGUCGCAGAUGCAGCUCAGAUCCCGCGUUGCUGUGGCUGUAGUGUCGGCUGGCAGCUACAGCUGCAAUUCGACUCCUAGCCUGGAAACUUCCA